rnacentral:rRNA from 1 species
AUACGUAGGUGGCGAGCGUUAUCCGGAUUUACUGGGCGUAAAGGAUGCGUAGGUGGAAUUUUAAGUGGGAUGUGAAAUACCCGGGCUCAACCUGGGAACUGCAUUCCAAACUGGAAUUCUAGAGUGCAGGAGAGGAAAGCGGAAUUCCUAGUGUAGCGGUGAAAUGCGUAGAGAUUAGGAAGAACACCAGUGGCGAAGGCGGCUUUCUGGACUGUAACUGACACUGAGGCAUGAAAGCGUGGGGAGCAAACAGGAUUAGAUACCCUGGUAGUCCACGCCGUAAACGAUGGGUACUAGGUGUAGGGGUUUCGAUACCUCUGUGCCGCCGUAAACACUAUAAGUACCCCGCCUGGGGAGUACGGUCGCAAGAUUAAAACUCAAAUGAAUUGACGGG